CACCGCCCGUCACACCAUGGGAGUUGGGGGCGCCCGAAGCCGGUUAGCUAACCUUUUAGGAAGCGGCCGUCGAAGGUGAAACCAAUGACUGGGGUGAAGUCGUAACAAGGUAGCCGUAUCGGAAGGUGCGGCUG
rnacentral:ncRNA from 1 species